UAAUUGAAGAGUUUGAUCAUGGCUCAGAUUGAACGCUGGCGGCAGGCUUAACACAUGCAAGUCGAACGGUAGCACGAAGGAGCUUGCUCCUUGGGUGACGAGUGGCGGACGGGUGAGUAAUGCUUGGGAAUCUGGCUUAUGGAGGGGGAUAACUACGGGAAACUGUAGCUAAUACCGCGUAAUAUCGAGAGAUUAAAGUGUGGGACCGUAAGGCCACAUGCCAUAAGAUGAGCCCAAGUGGGAUUAGGUAGUUGGUGGGGUAAAGGCCUACCAAGCCGACGAUCUCUAGCUGGUCUGAGAGGAUGACCAGCCACACUGGAACUGAGAUACGGUCCAGACUCCUACGGGAGGCAGCAGUGGGGAAUAUUGCACAAUGGGGGGAACCCUGAUGCAGCCAUGCCGCGUGAAUGAAGAAGGCCUUCGGGUUGUAAAGUUCUUUCGGUGAUGAGGAAGCUUGGUGAGUUAAUAGCUCAUCAAAUUGACGUUAGUCACAGAAGAAGCACCGGCUAACUCCGUGCCAGCAGCCGCGGUAAUACGGAGGGUGCGAGCGUUAAUCGGAAUGACUGGGCGUAAAGGGCACGCAGGCGGUGACUUAAGUGAGAU
rnacentral:ncRNA from 1 species